rnacentral:rRNA from 1 species
CCCCUAGAUGUCCUGGGCCGCACGCGCAAUACAAUGUAGAGUUCAGAAAGCAUAUCCUGUUCCGGAAGGCAAUGGGUAAUCUUUUCAAUAUUUUACGUGUUAGGGAUCGAUCUUUGCAAUUAUAGAUCUUGAACGAGGAAUACCUAGUAAGUGCAGCUCAUCAGGCUGUACUGAUUACGUCCCUGCCCUUUGUACACACCGCCCGUCGCUCCUACCGAUUUCGAGUGGUCCGGUGAAUCUUUUGGAAUUAGAGUGCAAACUCAAACUAAGAUCGAUAAACCUUAUCACUUAGAGGAAGGAGAAGUCGUAACA